AGAGUUUGAUCCUGGCUCAGGAUGAACGCUAGCGACAGGCUUAACACAUGCAAGUCGAGGGGCAGCGGGGGAUAAGCUUGCUUUUCCUGCCGGCGACCGGCGCACGGGUGAGUAACACGUAUGCAACCUGCCUCUGUCAGAGGGAUAAUCCGGAGAAAUCCGGUCUAAUAUCGCAUAAAGCGUUUGCGGGGCAUCCUGCGAGCGCCAAAGGAGUAAUCCGGACAGGGAUGGGCAUGCGGCGCAUUAGCUAGUUGGGGGGGUAACGGCCCACCAAGGCGACGAUGCGUAGGGGUUCUGAGAGGAAGGUCCCCCACAUUGGUACUGAGACACGGACCAAACUCCUACGGGAGGCAGCAGUGAGGAAUAUUGGUCAAUGGGCGGAAGCCUGAACCAGCCAAGUCGCGUGAGGGAAGACGGCCCUAAGGGUUGUAAACCUCUUUUGCCGGGGAGCAAAAGCGCCGUGCGCGGUGCUAUGAGAGUACCCGGAGAAAAAGCAUCGGCUAACUCCGUGCCAGCAGCCGCGGUAAUACGGAGGAUGCGAGCGUUAUCCGGAUUUAUUGGGUUUAAAGGGUGCGUAGGCGGACAGUUAAGUCAGCGGUCAAAACGGGCGGCUCAACCGCCUGCCGCCGUUGAAACUGGCAGUCUAGAGUGGGCGAGAAGUACGCGGAAUGCGCGGUGUAGCGGUGAAAUGCAUAGAUAUUGCGCAGAACUCCGAUUGCGAAGGCAGCGUACCGGCGCCCGACUGACGCUGAGGCACGAAAGCGUGGGGAUCGAACAGGAUUAGAUACCCUGGUAGUCCACGCAGUAAACGAUGGACACUAUCUGUUCGGGUCGAGAGAGAUCUGAGUGGCACAGCGAAAGCGUUAAGUGUCCCACCUGGGGAGUACGCCGGCAACGGUGAAACUCAAAGGAAUUGACGGGGGCCCGCACAAGCGGAGGAACAUGUGGUUUAAUUCGAUGAUACGCGAGGAACCUUACCCGGGCUUAAAUUGCAGAUGAAUUACGGUGAAAGCCGUAAGCCGCAAGGCAUCUGUGAAGGUGCUGCAUGGUUGUCGUCAGCUCGUGCCGUGAGGUGUCGGCUUAAGUGCCAUAACGAGCGCAACCCCUCUCCUUAGUUGCCAUCAGGUUAAGCUGGGCACUCUGGGGACACUGCCACCGUAAGGUGUGAGGAAGGUGGGGAUGACGUCAAAUCAGCACGGCCCUUACGUCCGGGGCUACACACGUGUUACAAUGGGGGGUACAGAAGGCAGCUACCUGGUGACAGGAUGCUAAUCCCAAAAACCUCUCUCAGUUCGGAUCGAAGUCUGCAACCCGACUUCGUGAAGCUGGAUUCGCUAGUAAUCGCGCAUCAGCCAUGGCGCGGUGAAUACGUUCCCGGGCCUUGUACACACCGCCCGUCAAGCCAUGGAAGCCGCGGGCGCCUGAAGUCCGUGACCGGAAGGAGCGGCCUAGGGCGAAAGUGGUAACUGGGGCUAAGUCGUAACAAGGUAGCCGUACCGGAAGGUGUGGCUG
rnacentral:rRNA from 1 species